UACGUAGGGGGCAAGCGUUGUCCGGAUUUACUGGGCGUAAAGAGCGUGUAGGCGGCCAAGCAGGUCCGUUGUGAAAACUGGAGGCUUAACCUCCAGCUGUCGAUGGAAACCAUCUGGCUAGAGUCCGGAAGAGGAGAGUGGAAUCCCUGGUGUAGCGGUGAAAUGCGCAGAUAUCAGGAAGAACACCCGUGGCGAAGGCGGCUCUCUGGGACGGUACUGACGCUGAGACGCGAAAGCGUGGGGAGCGAACAGG
rnacentral:rRNA from 1 species